AGAGUUUGAUCCUGGCUCAGGAAGAACGCUAGCGGCAGGCCUUAUACAUGCAAGUCGAGGGGCAGCAUUUACUUCGGUAAAUGGCGACCGGCGCACGGGUGAGUAACGCGUAUGCAACCUACCUUUAACUGGGGCAUAGCUCGAGGAAACUCGAAUUAAUUCCCCAUAGUACAUUAUAAUAUCUCAUGAUAUAAAUGUUAAAGAUUUAUCGGUUAAAGAUGGGCAUGCGUCUGAUUAGUUUGUUGGUAAGGUAACGGCUUACCAAGACUACGAUCAGUAGGGGGUCUGAGAGGAUGAUCCCCCACACUGGUACUGAGACACGGACCAGACAUCUACGGAUGGCAGCAGUAAGGAAUAUUGGGCAAUGGGCGCAAGCCUGACCCAGCCAUGCCGCGUGCAGGAUGACGACCCUAUGGGUUGUAAACUGCUUUUAUAUAGGAAGAAAAUACUCUUGCGAGAGGAUCUGACGGUACUAUAUGAAUAAGGACCGGCUAACUCCGUGCCAGCAGCCGCGGUAAUACGGAGGGUUCAAGCGUUUUCCGGAUUUAUUGGGUUUAAAGAGUGCGUAGGUGGUUUAUUAAGUCAGUGGUGAAAUCCUGCAGCUCAACUGUAGAACUGCCAUUGAUACUGGUAAACUUGAGUUUGGU
rnacentral:rRNA from 1 species